ACAAAUACAACAACAAAGAAAUUACAUUUAAUAAAGCAUUGUUUUAACACUAAAAAAAGCAAAACAAAUUAUUUAUAUAAAUUUAUAUAAAUAUAUGUAUAUAUAAGUUUUGUAUAAUUUUCUCAGCAUUGAAAAUUAUAUGAAUUGCUUAUAUACAUAAUGCGUAUCCCAUGUGUAUAUGUAUGUGUAUUAUUUAGUUUUGUCUAAAACUACUUUCAGCCGUAGGCAGUGAAGAGAACACAGUCAGUGAGUCGGUCAGUCAGUCAGUCACUUGUCUUGAGCCGUAAGCAUUGUGGCACACGGAUGGAGUACAACUUGAUGAGCAGCUAUCUAACGACUGGUACUGCUGUAUUAUGUAGGUUGUCCAGUGCUGCUACAUAGCAAUUUGGAUUUGUCAUUUAUGUCUGUAUGUGGUAUGUGUUUACCGUAUGCGCAUGCGCGCGUGUUUGACUGCGUGUUAGCUAUGUGUGAGUCUCUAGUGAACAGUACCACCCAUUUUUUGGCGCCAACAUGUAGGUUUUGUUUUUAUAUGACAUACAUACAUAUAUUUUUAUGCUUAGCAUUGCUGAUUUACUAUAUUUGUAUCACUAUAUUGAUGACUGUCUAUAAUUGAAAUGCGUACAUAACCUACAAAUAUGUUUUAACUAUAGCCUAUUUGAUUGUUUAUGCCAUAUAAUUUAUUUUAAUGCCAAAUUUCAAAUUUCCUUAGUUAUGUACAUAUAUAUUUAUUAUAUAUGUAUAUAUAUAUAUGUAUGUAUAAAUAUUUCUCGUAGUUUUUUGGCUGCUGUUGCUGCUGCUGUCAUGCUAGCUUCCUCUUCCCCCACAUUCUGAGCUGCUUUUUGGUUCACGUCAGUUGGCAUUUAGACAACGGAUAGGCUGGUGUUUUGGUCAGCAAUACAGUGGAUGCACGUAAUUCCUUUUUUGUUGUUUUACUUACAUACUUCAAUUAAUUUUUCUUAUUUACCAUAUAUAAUUUUAUACUGUGCAUAUUUGCUUUUGUAUAUGAUAUAUUUAUAAACUUUACGAACAUAAUUGUUGUUGCUGCUGAUUAAACAUGUCCUAAUUGUGGUGUAGACCGUUGGUUUACAGCUUAGGUUUUAAAAAAAAUGUCGUAUUUCGUACGAUGACGUUCCGAAGAGUACAUAACCUCAUCGUCUGGUGGCGCUAUUAGCCAGAGACCAAGGAAUAGUUGAUACAGUGAAUUUCACUGGGCGAAUCUUUUCUGAAAAAGGCGAGGACUCUUCUAUAAGCUGAUAAAAUGACCGUUUUCAGAGCUUCAAAAGGUGUAAUCUAUAUUGACUACAUAAAAAGGCGUCGCUUUAAAAGAUGUUAAAGAAUCAAUGGAUUAUAUCUAGAUCACUAAUCCUCCAGUCCCUAGCCAGUAUUACAUGGGGUAAAGACAAAAAAACGUUGUUUACAAAUUAGCUGGCUAUCGGUCGGCCAGUCAUAAACUACACAGCCCCUAUAUGGUCGCUUGGAUGCAGUAGGAGCCAGCUGAGGAAGUUUCGGACUUGUCAGAAUAACGCUCUCCGGAUAGCCACAGGUUGCUUCUUGAUGUCUUUGGUUGAGCACCUACACAAUUAGGCUCGUAUGUUACCUGUGAAGGAGCAUAACGAAAUGCUCUUCCGACAGUUUCUGUUCGUAUGCUUUCUUAGAAAUCAUCCCUGCAGUCUGCUACUGGAAGCCGAGCCGCGUACGAGUGCUCUCAAGAGUACUUUCCUCAAAUACGUCGACGACAUACAGGACUAUACCGACCGGAAAUCGGAUGCGACAAACUUUCGACAAACACUGAACGCCAUUCACAGAGGAGCCAUUAACACCUUUCGACCCUAGAUGACUUCGAUGAUAAUUAGUCUAAGCAUGCCGGUUCAGUUAAUUCUCUAUAUCCGAUACGUUGUUGCCAAGACACUAAUUUGACUUCCUUUUUAUGCACUGUUAUUGUCAAAGUUAAAGGUCUAAUUCCUCAGUUUUUUCGAAGGUUAAAAUAUCAUUUCCCGCUUCACUUGUUUCGGGUACUUUUCGAUUACUUAAACCCCGGCUCUUGUGGGAACGACAUUAAAAAACGUCUUACCUUUGGAACCGUACUCGGAAAACCCCCAAAAAAUUAGAGAAAAUAUUAAAACCAGUGUCCUUAUUAGCGAGUGAGUGCUUAAGAGAAUUGUAGCGCACAUUGCAUAUAAUUUUUUGGGAAGACAUUUUGGAAUAUUUAGAUUUAAGAUUCUUAACUUUACAGCGUAUUGAAGAGUGUCGAACUGGAGAAAGUGAACAAAUGGACAAGUGGAACGGUAAAGUAAGACGAAAUAUGGCCGUGACAGUUAGUAAGUAUGUUUAGCGGAUUUGGAAGAAGCACAGAAAGUUUGAGCAAAAUAAGAAAAUUAUAAAAACAAUUUAUUAUUUUUAGAAAAAUUAUUUCUCAGCGUGGUUAGAACGCAAUAUUUUAUAUUAUAUUUGUUUCAAUAGAUAUAAUAAUGUGUUGCAAUUUUGGUAGCUUUGGGAUAAAAAAUUAAAAAUCUAUAAACCUAUGCAUUUUUUAAAUUAUAUCUACAUGCCUAAAAUGUGUAUCUACUUUCAGAGUGACCAGCACAACCACAUACACAAAAAUUGAAUUCUUUAAAAAUGUAUAUUUUGGUAAUAUUUACCUUAAAAAUUGUAUGUAGUUUCAAUGCAAUUUCACUAUACAUAUACAUGUGUACAUAGAUUUAUCUGCAUAUUUGUUGAAAAUAUUUAAUGAAAAUUGAUAGUUUCAAAUUUCAUAUUUCUUUCAGCGCAGGCGCACACACGCCUACAAGUGAAUAUACAUAUAUUACAUAUUGUUAUUUACCAACCUCCUCCUCCACCCACUGACCAGGCAUUAUAAUGCAUGAAUAGGCGCGUGUGUGUGCGUGUGCAGCCAGAGUAGAUCAGUUUUCAGUUUGUGUGCCGAGCAAUAGGAUCAACUGUAGGAUACUUGAGAACGAAAGUCGAACCGCACACAGUAAAGAAGUCUCGUAAAAAUAUGCAAAAUUGUGAGUUAACGCCUUUUUGAGUUCUUGCCAAGCAGGUAAUAUUAUUUUGAAUUGUAUUUUUUUACUUGAUAUACAACAAAUUUCAAACCACGUAUAUUCAAAUUUAUAUUUUAUACCAACCAAUUCGUUUGUAAAUGUUAGUGAAUCGAAAGAAGUAUGUGUGAAAGUGUGAUUAGAAGAGAAUUUUUCCAAAACUUAAACAAAAAAAUAUUAAAAUGUAUUUUUUUAAUUCGAUAAGAAUUAUUGAGAUUUUCUGAUUUCCUGAUUGCGUUAAAACGGUCAGGACCUCAUUGAGAAUUGAGGGAAUUCGUGAAAAUCAUAAAUUAUAUUAUUUAGUGAUUACCAUAAUGUUAGGCGAUCAAUUUCAUAAUUAUUUAGUACUUAAGCUUACCUUUUCAAUAUCACUCUAUAAGUCCAAACUCUUCGAAAAACUCGGAAUUUCGAACAAAUAUGUCAGCUUUAAUAAUGAACUUCACGUUUUUAACAAUAACUAGUGAGAAAGAAAAAGAAUUUUUAGAAAUUUAUUUCAUUUAAAGUAAUUUUAAGGGUUCUUAUGGGGGUGAUGGACUGAAUGGAUGUCUGCUUUUUAAUUAGCUUAUGUUAACAAAGUGAAAUUUUGUGGCUUCUGUAGUCUUCUGCGGCUACAUUACUCUAAUAAUUUCGAAUCAUUUUGCCAACUUGACAAUACUUUGCCAUAUAGAAAUCGGGAUGCGCACCGGUUUCGGGCUCUACACUGUCGUUGGGAUAGGUAUUUUUUAACUUUAUUUCAUCGAGUUUGGUUAGAUGAGCUCAGCUCACACUGUCGAUACACAUUUUCAACCUUGAAGUGGGCGGGACCAUAGCUCAUAUUUCUUUUUAAAAUAAAAUAAAUAUCUUUCAUUAUAUAAAUUCCUUCUUGUGUGUGUGACUAUAGUAGUAAUGGGACUAUACCUAAAUUUUAAUUUCAUAAGGGUCUCCCCAUAGAAUCAGUGUAGUCACCCAAAACUUGUCUUAUUGUUAUUCAGCGAAAGAGGAAAAUCAUGUGAGGAUUUCUAUGUAAUGACGAUGUAUUCGGUGUCUUCGAAAUAGUUUCGUCUGUAUAGAACCGGCCUCAAUUUUAACCUACCGAGCAAUUUCUACAAAAUUUCACACAACGAACUCAAGGUCAAAAUUCUAUAACUAGCAACUCAGGAAUCGAAUUAGGGUUUCUACGACGUGUAUUUUCCUUAUACAAUUUUAGAACAGAAGUUAAUACGUCGUUUACGUAUGAAUAGAUGUAUGUAUGUACUAUAUAAUUAAUAAUGUUUGUUGUUGUUGUCUGUUUGUUUUUCCAUUGAGAUUCAAGGGAUUGUGACGCGCAAUACAUAGCCUAUCCAAUCCAAGUGUCAACCUCACCUACACGCGGUGAAUCUUGUUAUUAUAUAUAGCAGGCGAGGCUCUGGCGAUUUCUAAAAGAUAAAAAAUUUUAAAAUUAAUGAAAAAAUUGUUACAAGUUAAGCGAGAUUUAACUAACCUGCCAUGCUGACCGCAGUGACCAAUAUAAGAUAUCACAACAAUAUCAACGUUACAAUUCUAUUUGGAACUCAACGCAUAUUGAAAAAUAUAUUGAACCAAUUAGUCUUAGUUGUUUUAAGACACUUAAUAAUCUUUAUUCAAUGUUACUGGAGAGAGUGUCCUUUGUCGGUGAUAAAUUUAAGUUGCUCCGGUUAUAUAAAAAAAUCAGUUCCAAAAUAAAACAUCAAUCCAACAAAAGACACUAAACUGGAUCGAAGUUAUAGUUAUACACCUUUAUAUAUUGUCGGUCUAAUGAACAACGCAUUAUGAGAGGAAGAAAUGUAUUGGUAACCUUAAGAAGUUCUCAACUCCAAACAUUUCAAACUCAGAGACAUCAUUUACUAUUAUCAGACCCAGCGUACUCAAACAUCGUCAUUUCUUCCGAUGUGAAGGGACCUGCUCUAUCCCAUCCAAAAAGAUUGCAGUUCGGCUUGUAAUUGAUAAUCGCGAUGUCCUUGAGUUGCGGCGGUAAAUCCAUAUCACUUGAGAGACAAACCGAGUUCACACUACGUUGCCGGGGGUAACUGGGCCAGACGUUCGAUGCUACGUAACCAAAAUCUCUUGUGGAAUCACGGAUUACUUUGGUUACGUUACGCUAAUGUCGAUGAAAUGGCUCAAGACCAACAAAAGAAGGCAACUAAUACAGACAUGUAAACGACAUAGCUGAAGAAAAUGUGCUCGUUGGAUUAUAAAUAUAAGAGUUUAUCUUUUAAAUACCCGAAUGUCUUGGAAACACUUUGGGCCAUCUCAUAAGUUCAUCAGCAAUUCAACUGAAUCGCAUAUAAGGUUUUGUCGAGCGUAUUGUGUGAAAGACUAAAGCCCACCGUCAACGAACUGAUUGGACCUUAUCAGUGUGGCUUUAGACCUGGAAAAUCGACAAUGGACCAGAUAUUCAGCAUGCGCCAAAUCAUGGAAAAGACCCGAGAGAGAAGAAUCGAUACUCACCAUCUUUUCAUCGAUUUUAAAACUGCCUUCGAUAGCACGAAAAGGAGCUGCCUUUAUGCCGCGAUAUCUGAAUUUGGUAUCCCUGCAAAACUAAUACGGCUAUGUAAGCUGACGUUGAGCAACACCAAAAGCUCUGUCAGUAUCGGGAAGGACCUCUCCGAGCCGUUCGAUACCAAACGAGGCUUCUGAAAGCGUGACUCACUAUGCGUAUGCCGAUGAUAUUGAUAAACCUUUGAAGUAGUAGAUAGUUUCGUCUACUUGGGAACCAGCGUUAACAACACCAACAAUGUCAGCCUUGAAAUCCAACGCGGAAUCACUCUUGCCAACAGGUGUUACUUUGGACUAAGUGGGCAAUUGAACAGUAAAGUCCUCUCUCGACGAACAAAAAUCAAACUCUACAAGUCGCUCAUUAUUCCCGUGCUGAUGUAUGGCGCCGAAGCGUGGCAACGGCGAAUACCGCAGACGAUGGAACGAUGAGCUGUACGAUUUAUACGACGACAUUGACAUAGUUCAGCCAAUAAAAAGACAGCGGCUACGCUGGCUAGGUCAUGUUGUACGAAUGGAUGAAAACACUCCAGCUCUGAAAGUGUUCGAUGCAGUACCCGCCGGAGGAAGGGGAAGGCCUCCACUCCGUUGGAGGGACCAAGUGCAAAGUGACCUGGCUUCACUUGGUGUUUCCAGUUGGCGCCAAAAAGCAAAAAGGAGGAACGAGUGGCGCGCUCUGGUGGAUUCGGCUAUAAUCACUUAAGCGGUUUCUAUGCCAAAUAUAUAUAUAUAUAAUUCAACUGAAGAAUUCUCGAUCCGUUAUUCAUUCCUGUUAAUUGCGAUCGGGCAUUUGGCGACUCUACCGCCUGUUAUUCCAUUAAUUUACGGGAGAAAAAUGUGAUGAUUUGAUCAUCAAAGGUUUGUCAAGUCAAAUCGUAAAACGAUUGAAGAAUGUCAAAUUUGGAAACUAUUACUCUGGGAGCAUGGACAGGAAUCACCUUAUUGAUGAAUUACUAAGCAGCGUUACACGAACCAUAGACGAAACAUCUUCAGCAUCAUCAGCACUUAAAACCCAUAGAAAACGACAUAUUCCAAAUGCAGUCUUUAUGUCUAUAUAACCUAAGUGGUUCUUGAUAAAUUCAACAUAACCUACAAUCCUGGAAAUUGCAUUGAAAUCUUAUCGCUGAACUGAUGACAGUCAAGUCAAAUCUGUGACUGUCCCAUAAAAAAUCCAACAGCAGACUGACAGGAUGUUUUUAAAAAGGUGGGAGGGAAGCAACGGAAACCGGAGCGGGGAAUCUAACCUGUUCUCUCAACUCACGACUCUUCCAACCUCAUUAGGUAUUUCUACGUGGGAGUGAUAAAACAUUUUAAGUCUCUUCUAUGGUACGGAUUGACUAAAAUAGUGAAGGUAAUGAAAAAAUGCGUAUUCAAAGUCUUCUAAGCACUAUAUAGAGGGAUCUUCUAAAACACUGGAAAUCUAAAACCCAAUGUUUUUCACAUCUCCGUAUGUAUGACUACUUGAACUACUACGAACCUUGGCACUGGCUUUGUCUAUAUUACAAUAAACUCUUCUCUUCAACGGUUGUCUCGCGGUAUUUAGGAAAGAAAGAAUAAAUUCGUCUCAGAAGACAAACCUUUUAAUCGAUUAAUAUCAGACCUAUGACAACAUAAAGUUGGUGUCUUAUAGUUUAUCGUGUGUUGAUACCUCUUCCUUUCUGCAUAUCUGAAAAGUAUAACUAGUUUACAUCGACAACAGAUAAGAGGUGAUAGCACUCAAGUACUCAAUUAGAAUUUCUCAAAGCAUCGUUUAAACGAUUGACGGAAGAGAUUUAACCGUAACGGAAACGGAAUCGUAACCAAGAAAAGUAGUAACCGUAACGGCAUUGGACUCAUUACCAACAGUAUCUUCAGUAGAUAUCUCCGACGGCUGUAAAGUGAAUUAGUUUGUAAGUGGUCCCUCAAAAAAUCUCUUACAACAGAAACCAAUGCCGACAGCAAAAAUAUACUUUAAAAUUCAUAACUUUUUGCGUAGCGGCCCCGUUGCUGCAGUAGCCUAGAGGAUAGAAUGUUAGCUUAGCAAUUCGGUGAAUUGAGGUUCGAAACCCAUUGUCAGCAAUUUUUUAUUUAUUAUAACU